GUCGAUAUGUCCGAGUGGUUAAGGAGAUAGACUUAAAAUCUGUUGGGCACUAUCCGCGCAGGUUCUAACCCUGCUGUCGACG